UCAUUUGCCUUUUAAUUGAAGGCUAGUAUGAAUGGUUUGAUAGGAANAGAAUNGNNNNGUCUCUUUUUGGUAGANUUAUAUUUUUAUGUGAAAAAGCCUUGAUUUAUUUAAUAGACAAGAAGACCCUAUCGAGCUUAANAGGAUUUAAUANGAUUGAUUGAUUUNUUAUUCAGGAGAGUGUUACUGCUAAAAUUUUUGGUUGGGGCGACUGAGGAACAUUAUAAGCUUCCUUUAUAUNNAUUUACNUACGNAUGAUGAUCCAGGGCUGGUGAGUGAAGGAAUUUAUUACCGUAGGGAUAACAGCAUUAUCUUCGUUGAAAGUUCUUAUCGAAAANAGGGUUCGUGACCUCGAUGUUGGACCGAAAUG
rnacentral:rRNA from 1 species